UACGUAGGGCGCAAGCGUUGUCCGGAAUUAUUGGGCGUAAAGAGCUCGUAGGCGGCCUGUUACGUCUGCUGUGAAAUCCCGGGGCUUAACCCCGGGCGUGCAGUGGAUACGGGCAGGCUGGAGGCAGGCAGGGGAGAACGGAAUUCCCGGUGUAGAGGUGAAAUGCGCAGAUAUCGGGAGGAACACCGGUGGCGAAGGCGGUUCUCUGGGCCUGUACUGACGCUGAGGAGCGAAAGCGUGGGGAGCGAACAGG
rnacentral:rRNA from 1 species